AUUGAACGCUGGCGGCAGGCCUAACACAUGCAAGUCGAGCGGAUGAAGGGAGCUUGCUCCUGGAUUCAGCGGCGGGCGGGUGAGUAAUGCCUAGGAAUCUGCCUGGUAGUGGGGGAUAACGUCCGGAAACGGGCGCUAAUACCGCAUACGUCCUGAGGGAGAAAGUGGGGGAUCUUCGGACCUCACGCUAUCAGAUGAGCCCAGGUCGGAUUAGCUAGUUGGUGGGGUAAAGGCCUACCAAGGCGACGAUCCGUAACUGGUCUGAGAGGAUGAUCAGUCACACUGGAACUGAGACACGGUCCAGACUCCUACGGGAGGCAGCAGUGGGGAAUAUUGGACAAUGGGCGAAAGCCUGAUCCAGCCAUGCCGCGUGUGUGAAGAAGGUCUUCGGAUUGUAAAGCACUUUAAGUUGGGAGGAAGGGCAGUUAGUUAAUACCUUGCUGUUUUGACGUUACCAACAGAAUAAGCACCGGCUAACUUCGUG
rnacentral:rRNA from 1 species